UAGGGAAUCUUCGGCAAUGGACGGAAGUCUGACCGAGCAACGCCGCGUGAGUGAAGAAGGUUUUCGGAUCGUAAAGCUCUGUUGUAAGAGAAGAACGAGUGUGAGAGUGGAAAGUUCACACUGUGACGGUAUCUUACCAGAAAGGGACGGCUAACUACGUGCCAGCAGCCGCGGUAAUACGUAGGUCCCGAGCGUUGUCCGGAUUUAUUGGGCGUAAAGCGAGCGCAGGCGGUUAGAUAAGUCUGAAGUUAAAGGCUGUGGCUUAACCAUAGUAGGCUUUGGAGACUGUUUAACUUGAGUGCAAGAGGGGAGGGUGGAAUUCCAUGUGUAGCGGUGAAAUGCGUAGAUAUAUGGAGGAACACCGGUGGCGAAAGCGGCUCUCUGGCUUGUAACUGACGCUGAGGCUCGAAAGCGUGGGGAGCAAACAGGAUUAGAUACCCUGGUAGUCCACGCUGUAAACGAUGAGUGCUAGGUGUUAGACCCUUUCCGGGGUUUAGUGCCGUAGCUAACGCAUUAAGCACUCCGCCUGGGGAGUACGACCGCAAGGUUG
rnacentral:rRNA from 1 species